rnacentral:piRNA from 1 species
UAAGUCCUGCCUAAGCCUGUCUAUCUG